CAGAGGGUAGUUUAAUUAGAAAAUAUUAAUUUUGGGGAUUAAUGAAAAGGUGAAUACUUUUCCUCUGA
rnacentral:tRNA from 1 species